GAUAAGAACGUAGCGAAAUGCGAUAAGUAAUGUGAAUUGCAGAAUUCAGUGAAUCAUCGAAUCUUUGAACGCACAUUGCGCCCGCCAGUAUUCUGGCGGGCAUGCCUGUUCGAGCGUCAUUUCAACCAUCAAGCCCCCGGCUUGUGUUGGGGACCUGCGGCUGCCGCAGGCCCUGAAAUGCAGUGGCGGGCUCGCUGUCACUCCGAGCGUAGUAGUUACAUCUCGCUCUGGGCGUGCUGCGGGUUCCGGCCGUUAAAAGCCUUAUUUACCCAAGGUUGACCUCGGAUCAGGUAGGAAGACCCGCUGAACUUAAGCAUAUCAAUAAGCGGAGGA
rnacentral:misc_RNA from 1 species